GUCUCCACUCAAUUGUACAGAACCCAAAGCUGCAAGGAGGGACAGACAGUAAUUUGAACAAUUGAACAGCCCUAGGGCAUCCCCGAAAGUUUCCUUUCCCUCUUCCACUGCCAAAGUUUCCCAGCUUGUUAAGUGAGGAAAUGAAACCCCUCCGAACUUUACAAGGGUGGGUUUAUUCCCUUCCAUUAGGCGGCCCUUCCUCCAUGUAGAGAGAGAUGGACAGAACUCCCUGGCUACAACAUCCUUAUAGCUUCCAGACUCAGAAGAAAGACUUCUCUCUGUGUACACAAAUGUAGCAAAUCUCCACCCCAACUAGUCAGUUCUGGUGCUGGGGGUCUAAUUCACUUCAGUGUCCUAGAGAAGUAUCCCACCACUGAGCUACAUUCUGACCUCUAAGGUGAAAUUCAACACAUACAACAUUUGGCGUCUGGACACCUCGAGCACAGCUCCUGGUCUGUGGAAUGCCAUUUACUGCUUACUCUCACUUCCCACUCCCCAGGCCCUAUCCCUGGUUCCUCCAUUUUCAUCUGCCCUUGAGCAGUGCUCGGCCAGAACAGGUUUUUAUCACCAGAGCCCUCAGCUCUACAACCGUAGUGACCUGACAGAUGAGAACUGUUCAGACCUUCCAUUACAGGGUCUCCCGCCCCUUCAACUACUUGUCACCCUUAUUCUGAAAGAAAAAUCGAAUCGAAUCGUGCUAAGCUGGGAUCCUUCUGCUUUAAAAUGCCAAUAGGAGGUGAACACACUAGGCACUCCUGGCUAACUCCAACUUCUUCUUCCUGCUCUGCUGUUUGUGAUGGGAACUUGAAAACAAUUUAUCACAGUAAUGAUUGCUGAUGCCAACACUCCGGUGACUGAUGGCCACGUUACCUGGAGCAUGUCUUCCUGGCUCUCUCUCCACUAAAGAGUAAUUGUGGAGGGUUGGUGGAGAUGGGGGUGGCUAAAGGCUGAGGCAGGGAGAAUCUCAGCUCAGCUUCUCACCAGCCCCGAGUCAGGAGAGGCGGGAGGAAUAGAAGCUAAUGGCUGAGAUGGCUCAUAGAGAGAAUGUCAAAUCCGUCCGUUUAGAAGGGCAUUUCAUCUCUGCCUUUCUAAAUGGCCUCUGACAUGCUCUCUCUAGAAAAAUUCAUCGCUGUAGACUCUGGAAAGAUGGAUCAAUGCCAAGUGAGUACUGUGAAAGCAGCCGACCAGGAAAAGGCUGAGCAUGUCCACUUCAAGGGCAGCCCAAAAGGAGGAACACAGAGCUAAAGCAAUACGGAUUGACAUAGGCUGAAGGGAGACAUCCCUCCACCUGACAAAAGUAGUUCAGGGGACAAUUUCUUUUCCAAAGAAACACUUCAGAAAGCUGCCAAAUGUGUAUGUGUGUAUGUGCAAGUGUGUUUGUGUGUGUAUGCAUGUGUGUGUAUUGUGAGUGUGUGUGUGUGUGUGUGUGUGUGUGUGUGUGUGUGUGUGUGCAUGCACAUAUGUGUGAGUGUGGUAUCCAUUUAUGCCUAUGCCUGAAGAAUGGGGCUCAAUCAUUUUAGCUGUACAACUUUUUAGAAAGCCCAGGAUGGGUAGGAGUGGAAGUGGUAGAUCAGGCCGUCCAGUGCUGGUGCAUUCUCAGGACAUCCUCACUAGUAUUGACUGGUGACCAAAAUAAAGAUCUUCUCAUCCUACCCCACCGCCACAGCAGGGUGUAAAUUAAGGAUGCCAUGGGUUCAAAGUGUCUCUUCAAAAUUUAUACCCAGUGAAGGGUGGUGGCAAGCUGUCCUCUCUUCCCCUGGGUCAUACCCCCUGUAUGAGGGUGAAUGGAACCUGCCCUAGUUAAGAUUCUACCAAAAGCACCUUCGGGAGCAAAGGGUUUAUUUGAGCUUAUAGGUCAUAGUCCUUAAUGGAGGGAAGUCAGGAACUCAAAGCAGGAGCCUGAAAGCAGAAACUAAAGCAGAGGCUACAGAGAAACACUACUUACUGGCUUGCUCAACCUGCUUUCUUACCCAUUCAGGACUACCCGCCCAGGGAGACACCACCCACAGUAGGAUGGAAUGUGUCUUUCCACAUUAACCAGUUACCAAGAAAAAUGCCCCACAGACUUACUAUAGGUAAUGUGAUAGAGACAUUUUCUCAGUUAAGGUUCCUCUACACAGAUAACACAGAUAACUGUGAAGAGUUCUCUCUCUCUCUCUCUCUCUCUCUCUCUCUCUCUCUCUCUCACACACACACACACACACACACACACACACACACUGUAAACAGGACAACAUCCCUUGGAAGGGGGUAGCUGAUGCCAUGUUAAAAAAAAAAGACAUUGCAGAGAUGAAGUAGAGACAAUUCGACUUGGUCCCUUCACUCCAUCUUGAUGCAUGGGGCAGUUGAUGAGGAAGGGAGAAAGAGUAACCCUGCCCCGAGAUCCUUGGUUAGGUCUUAGCCAUCACAUCUUGGGAGGAAUAGCUAAGGAGAUAUGAAGGGAGAAGGGGCGGCCAAACACAGGACAGAAAAGCAUCAUGGUCAAAGCCGUGUGACUUGUGCCAGGUUCUCGGCCCCAUCUCCUGCUCCACACCCCAAAGCUUGUCAGACUGCUUGUCCCAGAAGCUUGGCCUAGGAAUGUGGGCCCCAACUGCUUGGCUGUUGUCCCUUCACCCACCGCUGCUCAGAGUUGACGUGAGACUUGCAUUCUGACCCUUUUGUCUGACUCAGCCCUUUCUUCCCUGCAGCCCCCAAUCAUCAGUGGAGGCUGGGAAAGCACUGGGUUCAUAGACUGCAAGCUCUUGGCUCCCUUCUGCCUUUACCCGCUCCUUUAAUACAGAAACCCCAGCAGGGGUCUCCUUCCUUGUCUGUACUACACCAAGGUCAUGGUCUCUGUGGAAGUAGUAACAGGACUAGUAUAGUGAUGGGUUAUUUGAUUUUGGAAAAAAAAAAUAUUGUAGCACAUCUUCUGAAACUCCUGGCUGUUCUUGCACAGGAAUUCUAUUGACAAGGUAUAGGGGCCAGGGACCAGGUCUAGUCGGGUCCAGUGGUCUAUUCUCCAAGAAGAGGACAUGAGUUGUCAAGAAUUACUAGGCCUGGGUAUUGCCUGGUCUGCUCUGAGGGCUGGUACCUUGGGCCUAUUUUCCAGGAAGGGGGCCUGCUAGAGGGGAGGCAGCUCCACUAAUUACUAAUAAAUGUCUUUUGUUCUUAAUGAACAGUCUGUCUUCUGCCCCCAACUUGGUUCAGUCUCUUGCUUUCUAGGAAUGGAAUGGCCCGAGGUUCAGUGGGGGUGGGAACACCCACUCCUUGCUCUCCUGCCAAUCAUAUCCUUUCAAAGAACCUGGAAGCCUGAGCUCUGGUUUUCCCUGGGGGAAUUUGUGGGGACAGCGGUCCUGGAAGCUUCAGGGAUAAGAAAAGGGAGUAGAUGGAGGAGGGAGAAAUGUCGUCUUGGUAAGAAUGGUGAGCAAGCUUUGCCAGGUUCCUGCAGAAAGCACGUUCCUGAGCCCGCCUCUUGCUUUUUUCCAUCUGAGGCACCAUUGUCCCUUCAUCUCUCCUUCAUCUCUCUCCUUUCCAAUGGCUCAGGGAGGAGAAUUCUGGAACUGGCUCACAUUUUAUUCUGGGAUAAUUUGAGGGGCAGAAGGUGGCAGAGAGAGAGACAGCUAUGGGUGGUUAGAGCUCAGACACUCCCUCUCUCUGGUUCCCACUCUGCCCUCCGCCACUGUGUUUUGAGGUUGCCAAGGAAACCACACAACCGAUCUGUGAUCUGCAUCUUCUAUUUUGUUGCCCCCCCCCCAGCAAACUUUGUGAGGCCAAAUCAGUGGGAGUGCUGUCAGAGCCCAAGAUGGUGGGCAAGGAGAGGUUGCUUCCACACAGUCGUACAUGUGUGUGUACACACCACACAUGCAUGUUCACACAUACACACACACAUAUGCACACACACACAGACGGACCUGCACAUGCAGAGCUCAUGCCAUGCCUUAAAUCCCCUCCCUCCAGCACACAC
ensembl:lncRNA